GUCUCUGUAGCGCAAUGGAUAACGUGUUGGACUUUUAAUACAAAUAUUGUGGGUUUGAAUUCCAACUGGGAUG